CCUGCCCACACCCUGCAUCACAAAGCCGGCAUGUGACGGUGCCUCACAAUACUUCCAUUGCCUUUGGUGCUGGCAACCCAUCUUAAACCACUGGUCUCUAGCCCCAGUGUACACAUACUUUAUGUGCUUAUCGCUAAAAGCUCAUGGGUAGACUGGUCUUCUUGGGCCUCCUGCCAGGCCAUUCCUUGGUCCCUCCUGGUCAUCCAGCAAAGACUCUGUAGAAAGCAGUCACCUUGAGCCUUCAACAUGGAUGGUGCAGCAACCCCAAAAAAGUGUGGUUCCCUACGAUGAAGAAGCCAGUGAGUGGCUUUUACAGAGAGAUUCUUCCACAAACUGCCCUUCUGCCCAUCUGAAAAGCAGAUGCUUUACAUAGUCCAGAGUGCAAACUGUCAUAACCUUGUUGGUGGAAAGAAUGGAUUCUAUCCCGCAAUUGAGAUGGAGCUUUCAUGUUUAUGACUGGGGCAUGAACGAAGAUGAAUCAACUGAUGCUGAAUUCAGGAAAAACAGAAAUCCUUGUUAGGUGGUUCCUGGAUUUGGGUGAUGUACAUGUCCUAGAUAGAGUUACACACCCCUAUAAAAGCAGGUAGUGGUGCUCUUGGAUUUGUU
rnacentral:lncRNA from 1 species